rnacentral:rRNA from 1 species
GUGGGGAAUAUUGGACAAUGGGUGCAAGCCUGAUCCAGCAAUGCCGCGUGAGUGAUGAAGGCCUUCGGGUCGUAAAGCUCUUUUACCAGGGAUGAUAAUGACAGUACCUGGAGAAUAAGCUCCGGCUAACUCCGUGCCAGCAGCCGCGGUAAUACGGAGGGAGCUAGCGUUGUUCGGAAUUACUGGGCGUAAAGCGCACGUAGGCGGUUACUCAAGUCAGAGGUGAAAGCCCGGGGCUCAACCCCGGAACUGCCUUUGAAACUAGGUGACUGGAAUCUUGGAGAGGCGAGUGGAAUUCCGAGUGUAGAGGUGAAAUUCGUAGAUAUUCGGAAGAACACCAGUGGCGAAGGCGGCUUUCUGGACUGUAACUGGCACUGAGGCACGAAAGCGUGGGGAGCAAACAGGAUUAGAUACCCCGGUAGUCC